rnacentral:tRNA from 1 species
GGGAAUGUGGUGAAAUUGGUAGACACGACAGACUUAAAAUCUGUUGCUUAGUGAUAAGCGUGAGGGUUCAAGUCCCUCCGUUCCCA